AGGAGGAGGAGUGAAGGAGGAGGAGGAGGAGGAGGAGGAGGAGGAGGAGGAGGAGGAGGAGGAGGAGGAGGAGAGGCAGUUUUCAAGAGCAAAGGGGAAUGAAAACCCAUUCUAUAUUAUUCUACAGCUAAGUAUCUUGCUACUGAAUCAGAACUAAAAUCAAAUUUCUUUUCAGGAACUUUUAGAUCAUAAAAUGGAGCCUGGUAUGGUGGUAAAUGCAGGUGACCCCAACAGUUGGGAGGCUGAGGCAGGAA